ensembl:lincRNA
GUUUUACAUCCUUUGUCUGGUGAAGUCUGUCUGCAUGAGAUGGAGUUCAACGAGGUUUUUAGCAUAUUAUUCUCAUUAAACCAUGCAGGAAUUUCAUUUCACAAAUCCAAUUAAUACAAAUAGAUGGUUGGUGGCAAAAUCUCUGCCUGUUACACCAAAAUUUUUCAUUUACUUUGCAGAGUGAAAAUUCAGAGCUCACUGAACUUCAGGAUGGAACUAUCCCAGGCGGAGUGAGUCAGGCAAACUGUAGGCACUUUGGGCAAGAAUGCACAUUCUCUGCCAAGGCAUCACUUAUUUUACAGGGAAAAAACAGUAAAUUUUUAAAGGCAUACACAAAGAACUAUGCUUAUUAAUGUGGGAUAUGACUUUCGUGUGACAAAGCAGA